AGAUAUGUGUUUUGCCAAGUCAACAUGUUUUAGAGGUCCUAUAAGACAUUGCUACAUAGCUCCUAAUUAAGAAUAUAUAUGGAGGUAAGAGUAAAGCCUUCUUCACUCUUCUCAAUGCCUUUUUAGUCCUUAGUCUUGUUUCUAGACUUUUUAAUCUUCUUUUUUUUGGCAAUGGCCAUUUUAAUUUAAUAAUAUAUCAUCUUUGAAUGGCUUUUUAGUUUUUUUCAGUGUUGCAAGAGUAUAUUGAGGAUUUCUUUUUUUGAAAUUCAUGUCUUUAAUAAUAAGUUUUUUCUUACUCAAUAAGAAGUUUAAAACAUAUUGCAUUAAUUUGUAUAUCUUUUAUAUUUGAAUAUAUAUAUUAAAAAGAUGUUAAUAUUGCUAUUGAAUUAUAAAAAUGU
rnacentral:lncRNA from 1 species